rnacentral:rRNA from 1 species
UACGUAGGCGGCGAGCGUUGUCCGGAAUUACUGGGCGUAAAGCGCGCGUAGGCGGACCUGCAAGUCGGGGGUGAAAGCCCGAGGCUCAACCUCGGAACUGCCUUCGAUACUGCGGGUCUCGAGUCCGGGAGAGGUGAGUGGAAUUCCGAGUGUAGAGGUGAAAUUCGUAGAUAUUCGGAGGAACACCAGUGGCGAAGGCGGCUCACUGGCUCGGUACUGACGCUGAGGUGCGAAAGCGUGGGGAGCAAACAGG